rnacentral:misc_RNA from 1 species
UUCACGAGGGUGGGCUCGUGACUGUAAAAGUGAGCACAACAAAUAUGAUUAACAAUAAUUGUAAACAAACAUGCGUAGUUCAACAUACAAGCCUCAGCUAAAUUUUAGUAGUCAAAAUAAAGCCAUUCACUCCACCACUACACAUGCUCCAUGAACAAAGAGACUUGGAACAACAGCCUAGAACUCCAAAUUAGUGGACUGAACAACUUCAUCCAAAUUUAUGAAACAUAUCAUAUUUUCCCAGACAAGCAUCACUUAAGAUAGAAAACCUGACCCCUCAUGCUCACCAAGCAAUCACAACCUAUUUAUUUGUAUAACCAUAUAUCG